rnacentral:rRNA from 1 species
GACGAACGCUGGCGGCGUGCUUAACACAUGCAAGUCGAACGGAAAGGCCUCUUUCGGGGGGUGCUCGAGUGGCGAACGGGUGAGUAACACGUGAGUAACCUGCCCUUGACUUUGGGAUAACUUCAGGAAACUGGGGCUAAUACCGGAUAGGAGCUCCUGCUGCAUGGUGGGGGUUGGAAAGUUUCGGCGGUUGGGGAUGGACUCGCGGCUUAUCAGCUUGUUGGUGGGGUAGUGGCUUACCAAGGCUUUGACGGGUAGCCGGCCUGAGAGGGUGACCGGCCACAUUGGGACUGAGAUACGGCCCAGACUCCUACGGGAGGCAGAAGUGGGGAAUAUUGCACAAUGGGUGGAAGCCUGAUGCAGCAACGCCGUGUGCGGGAUGACGGCCUUCGGGUUGUAAACCGCUUUCGCUCAUGACGAAGCUUUGUGUGACGGUAGUGGGUAAAGAAGCACCGGCUAACUACGUG